AGUAUAGAACGCGUAGACAUUUUAUCUUUCGAAUGAAGUGUUUAUCAUACCAUUUCGUUCAGUUGUUUAGGAGCUAUUAACGCUCAAAAUCUCGGUCUCCGGCGUAACGCUUUCGUUUUCGAAACUUUGAUUUUACACCCCGGUAUAGAAAUGAAAGACGUAGUCCUACGUCAAAAACGUUUUGACAGCAGUUAGUGCGGCACUGGGGUUGAAACUGAACAAAAACGAAUUCGCUAUAUGUCACUGAUUUCGGUGUAGUUGUGUAACGAUUCGAAUACUUUUACAUUGUCGGCACAGCAUUGGUCAAUCCAGAGGAACUAGAACCCAAAGUAAAAAGGAUUGUCAUCUAUCACUAGCGAGAAGUUAGCGAGAAGGACAUCAAGGGUGCGUGCUAUUCCCUCGUUGAGUUCAACGGCCGAGUAUUGGCUAGCCUCAAUUAAAAAGUACGAUUGCAUGAAUGGACUGAUGAUCAGGAUUUGCGACUUGAAUGUAGCCAUUUCAAUAAUGUGUUGGCAUUAUAUUGUAAAAUUUGGGGCGGCUCUAUUUUGAUGGGUGAUUUAAUGCGAUAUAUCACGCUGUAGCAUUGGCUAUCCAAAGGAAAGUUGUUUUGAGGAGACCGCUCGCGACUAUAAUCCAAAUUGAAUGACAGCAGUAAAAAUAUUAGAUGACGGUGCCUUUCUCGGGGCGGAUAACAGCAACAAUGUAUUUGUUUGCCUAAAAGAUGGGGGCGCAACAACGGAUGACGAACGACAGCAAAUAGCUUAAUCCCAUCUCAGUGAUAUGAUGAAUAUAUUCCGCCACGGUUCGCUCGUGAUGCACAACAUCGGUGAGCGAACGACGCCGUCAACGGGCUGUGUGCUAUUUGCAGCCGGGUGACGUCUUUAGAGAACCCCCAUUGAACUGACAGGAGCCAACAUAUUGGGUAUCCCACUGACAUUUUCCCUUUGUUUUCAUAUGAAUUGGGUAUCCCACUGACAGUUCUGCUUGAGAUUUUGCUAACGAUCCUAGCAUCAAUCAUAGCACCCGGCUGGCUAUUUGGCAUAAUCAGCGGUGCAAUUGAUCUGGUCACACGAAUACCACCUGAUUAUGAACUAUGAAUUUCUUCGAAAGUUACAAGAAAGUUUGACUGAUAUAAACAAAUCUGUUGGCAGAAUUGAUUAUUCGUAUUAGCUUAGUUUCCACACCGAAAUGAGAACGGAACGUUGCGAGGGAUUUAUUGAUGGAGACCUUGUAGAAAGUUUUCUGGAUUUAAUUCGGGAAUAAAUGUACGAUGCAUUAGGGUUGCGGAUCGACGUGGAUGGAACUAAGAAGGAAGCGGUCGUAGAAACACUUUUUUAAAAAAGUUUAUUAAUGAAUCAACUCAUUAAUCAUGGUGUAUAUUUCCUAGCGUUCGCAUCUUUUUAUCGGACUUGCCAUUAUCGACCCUGCGAAUGAAUGAAUAGUUUCUUUCGCUCGAGCUGAUCCUGCAGUGUGAUGCCUUUCUUGAGCUCCACCUCAAGCGAAUGUAUUAUGACACCACCACCGUGGCUUUCAUCACUGAGCAGACCUGAAAGACCAUUUCCAUCUGCAGAUGACAACAGAGGAACCACAUUAGAAUGACCAGCUGUACCUGUUGCUGCUGUUGGCGCAACUGAAGCUGGUGGUGGUUUCCCACUGAAGCCUGUGUGCAUUGGAGUGGGCGACCAUUUGGGCGAAUAGGUGCCGCCACUAUCGUUCGGAUCUUCCUAGAAUCAAGCAUACCAUCGAAAAAUCGACGUGAGCAAAUCUGUUCCGGGUACCGUCCAACUCCUGGAGGAAUUUUCCGACGAGAAUGCCGACCUCCGUAGGGUAGCGUGCCCAUCGAGACCACUUUUCGAUUUCUCCUCGAGACCUCGAACGCGAAGCUAGGGGUAAGAGUUUCAUAUGAGAAUAGUGGAGCCAGUUUUUAGGCAAUAUACGAGAUGCUAACGCUUGCUGGUGGUGAGGUUAAACAACGGCUUUUCCGAAAAAUAUUUACCAAUUGCAGUCUCAAAAAAUAACAAAGCGAAAAGAAUGAGCAUUCGUUCCUAUAAUUUAUAAACAAUCGUCUCAUACUAAUAUACUUAAUGGGAAAACCUAUCGACAAAUCAAUCGAUGCAAUUUUGCAAAAUAUAAAUCUGACAGUGAGAAUUUGUAUCUAAAAUUCCGCUUGCAUAACAAAUAUGACAAUGAUGAAACGAAGCACGUUAUUAUAAAAGGUAAUAAAAGAAAAAGA